rnacentral:rRNA from 1 species
UACGAAGGUCCCGAGCGUUGUUCGGAUUUACUGGGCGUAAAGAGUCUGUGGGCGGCGGGGUAAGUCAGAUGUGAAAUCCCGGGGCUCAACCUCGGAACUGCAUCCGAUACUGCCUUGCUAGAGUAUUGGAGGGGAGUCUGGAAUUCUCGGUGUAGCAGUGAAAUGCGUAGAUAUCGAGAGGAACACUAGUGGCGAAGGCGAGACUCUGGACAAUUACUGACGCUGAGAGACGAAGGCCAGGGGAGCGAAAAGGAUUAGAUACCCCGGUAGU